rnacentral:rRNA from 1 species
UACGGGGGGGGCAAGCGUUGUUCGGAAUUACUGGGCGUAAAGGGCUCGUAGGUGGCCAACUAAGUCAGACGUGAAAUCCCUCGGCUUAACCGGGGAACUGCGUCUGAUACUGGAUGGCUUGAGUUUGGGAGAGGGAUGCGGAAUUCCAGGUGUAGCGGUGAAAUGCGUAGAUAUCUGGAGGAAUACCGGUGGCGAAGGCGGCAUCCUGGACCGACAUUGACGCUGAGGAGCGAAAGCCAGGGGAGCAAACGGG